UACGGAGGGUGCAAGCGUUAUCCGGAUUUACUGGGUUUAAAGCGUGCGCAGGCGGUUAUGUAAGACAGAUGUGAAAUGCCCGGGCUUAACCUGGGAACUGCAUUUGUGACUGCAUGGCUAGAGUUUGGCAGAGGGGGGUAGAAUUCCACGUGUAGCAGUGAAAUGCGUAGAUAUGUGGAGGAACACCGAUGGCGAAGGCAGCCCCCUGGGUCAAGACUGACGCUCAUGCACGAAAGCGUGGGGAGCAAACAGG
rnacentral:rRNA from 1 species